rnacentral:rRNA from 1 species
AGUAACUAUGAAACUAGAGUGUAAUGGAGGAAAGAGGAACUCCGAGAGUAGGGAUGGAAUCUGUUGAUCCUCGGAAGACCGCUUAAGGCGAAGGCUUCUUUCUAACUAAACACUGACGCUGAGGUACGAAAGUAUGGGGAGCAAAACGGAUUAGAGACCCGUGUAGUCCAUACCGUAAACGAUGAGUGCCUUAGAUUGGUUAUUAAUCAGUCUAUAAAUGUAGAUUAAAGCACUCCACCUGGGGAGUACUGCCGCAAGGUUGAAACCCAAAAGUAUAGAGGGUCUUGAAAACCAGCAGUGAAGCAUGUUGUUUAAUGUGAUGAUCCGCACAACAUCUUACCACUCCUUGAAUGCUACACAGGCGUUGCAUGGCUGUCUUCAGUUCGUGUCGUGAGAUGUAAGGUUAAGUCCGCAUAACGAACAAAACCCUUGCAACUAGUUAAUAUCUAGUUGAGCAUCCAGUGAUAAACUGGAAUAAUUAGGACUAAGACAAGCCCUCAUGGCCCUUAUGGAGUGGGCUACAGACGUGCAGCUAGGGGGAAUACAAAAGGAUCCAAUAAGGUAACUUGGAGGUAAUCCCCAAAUUUCCCCUUUGUGGAUUGAGCUCUGUAACUCGAGCUCAUGAAUUAGGAAUUGCUAGUAAUCGUGAAUCACCACGUCACGGUGAAAUUAAAGCUUCAAGAUCUACUAACUGCCUGUCACGGGCUGGGAGUAAGCUAUACCUGAAGUUGUCUAAAGACAUCCAAGGAUAGUAAACGACUGGUCUGAAGUCAUAACAAGGUAGCCGUUCGGGAACGAGUGGCUG